AUUGAACGCUGGCGGCAGGCCUAACACAUGCAAGUCGAGCGAGUGGCGGACGGGUGAGUAAUGUAUGGGAACCUGCCUGAUGGCGGGGGAUAACUACUGGAAACGGUAGCUAAUACCGCAUACCAUCAGAUGUGCCCAUAUGGGAUUAGCUAGUAGGUGGGGUAACGGCUAACCUAGGCGACGAUCCCUAGCUGGUCUGAGAGGAUGACCAGCCACACUGGAACUGAGACACGGCCCAGACUCCUACGGGAGGCAGCAGUGGGGAAUAUUGCACAAUGGGCGAAAGCCUGAUGCAGCCAUGCCGCGUGUAUGAAGAAGGCCUUCGGGUUGUAAAGUACUUUCAGUCGGGAGGCGUUACCGGCAGAAGAAGCACCGGCUAACUCCGUGCCAGCAGCCGCGGUAAUAC
rnacentral:rRNA from 1 species